UUUAAAGCUACAGGCCUGAUAGCCCUAGAGACAGGACAGAUACAGCACAAGCAACAGCAGUGCAAGCUUCCCUCUCCCUGCCCUGACAAUGCACCUUAACCCUGACCUCAGAGACCUCCACUGAUGAAUAUGAGGGUAGUUCGAUCUCCAUACUCCAUCUGACCAUGCUGUUGCA
ensembl:misc_RNA